CAUCGUAUAAAACAUAUUAGACUUGCAUACCUCGCAAACAUUUCAAAUCAGUUGAAUAAAUUCAUUCGGGCCUGUGUAGUUUGUAGAUGUUCAGUGCAAAUUUUACACGGGGUUGUCAUAAACGUGUUACAAAGGAUAAUAUGUAUCAAAAGAUUUCAUGAACAACGACAUGUACUGCAAUUCCAAACUUAGUAUGGUUAGUGAGAAGGUGUCAAGAUGGAACUGAACGACGACAAUAUAUACGACCGCCGAAGAUCAUCAUAUCAAGGCAGUGGAUCUUGUGAGCUAAAAAUAGAAGCUUGGUACAACACCUAUCACAAACUUAUGUUCAAUUUUGAAAAUCUGAACCUAGAUUGUAGCGAAGGUCAUCUUGAAUUUUUCGUUGUUCAGAACAAAGACACGAGAGUAACGGGAUUAGAGCAUGACGUCUGUGGACUAAACAAACCCGAAGGUGUGUUUACAGUGGACACUAGGUUUUUAAAAAUAAAAUAUAUCCCUCGAAAGGGUCAGCAGAUCUUAGACGUCUUUUCAGUAAUCAUUACAGCUUUCA